GGAUGCCUUGGCGAUAUCUGCCGACGAAGGACGUGACAAGCUGCGAAAAGCUGCGGAGAGAUGCAAAUAAUCGGCGACCCGCAGAUAUCCGAAUGGAGAAAUCCGGCUGUGAUGAUGCACAGCCAUCCAUGCCCAAGAGCAUGAGAAGGGAACCGGGCGAACUGAAACAUCUAAGUAACCCGAGGAAAAGAAAUCAAACGAGAUACCCCAAGUAGCGGCGAGCGAACAGGGAAGAAGCCCAAACCGGUGAAGGAAACUUUACCGGGGUUGAGGACCAUCAGACCCGCGAAGAACCUUAGCCGAAACUGUUGGGAAACAGUGCCGAAGACAGUGAAAGCCUGGUAGGCGAAAAAGAGAAACGCGGAGAUGGCACCAGAGUACCGCGGGACACGAGAAAUCCCGUGGGAAGCAGGGGGGACCACCCUCCAAGGCAAAACACAGAUAUCGACCGAUAGCGCAUAGUACCAUGAGGGAAAGGUGAAAAGCACCCCGGGAGGGGAAUGAAAGAGAACCUGAAACCGUAUGUUUACAAGCAGUCGGAGACCGCUUAAUAAUAAGGUCGACGGCGUGCCUAUUGAAGAAUGAACCGGCGAGUUACGAAGCCUGGCAAGGUUAAGCAGGAAAUGCGGAGCCGAAGCGAAAGCGAGUCUUAAGAGGGCGCAAGUCAGGAAGCGUAGACCCGAAACCACAGUGAUCUACCCAUGUCCAGGUUGAAACACAGGUAAAAAUGUGUGGAGGACCGAACCUAUAUCCGUUGAAAAGGGUUAGGAUGAGGUGUGGGUAGGGGUGAAAUUCCAAUCGAACGUGGAGAUAGCUGGUUCUCCCCGAAAUAGCUUUAGGGCUAGCCUGUGGGAAAAGAUUGCAGGCGGUAGAGCACUGAUCAGGAGAGGGACCUACCCGGUUACCAAACCCAGUCAAACUCCGAAUGGCUGCAAUCAUACCUGGGAGUCAGACUGCGACUAAUAAGGGCCGCAGUCAAAAGGGAAACAGCCCAGACCAUCAGCUAAGGUCCCCAAUGCCGUGCUAAGUGGCGAAGGAUGUGGCAUUUCAUAAACAACCAGGAUGUUGGCUCAGAAGCAGCCACCAUUUAAAGAGUGCGUAAUAGCUCACUGGUCGAGAGACGCUGCGCCGAAAAUGUCCGGGGCUCAAGCACGGAACCGAAGCUAUGGCAUGAUAGCAAUAUCAUGGGUAGGGGAGCGUUCUUAUAAGGAAGAAGCAUGACCGGAAGGACAUGUGGACAAAUAAGAAGUGAGAAUGCCGGUAUGAGUAUCGAAAAGAAAGGUGAGAAUCCUUUCCACCGAAAGCCCGAGGGUUCCUGAGCAACGAUCGUCGACUCAGGGUAAGUCGGGACCUAAGCCGAGGCGAAAAGCGUAGGCGAUGGACAACAGGUUGAAAUUCCUGUACCGGAUCAAGUCGAUUGAGCGAAGGAGCGACGCAGGAGGGCACAUGAUCGCGCGGCUGGAAGAGCGCGUCCAAGUGCGUAUGUUGCAGCAGAGGAAAACCCCUGCAGCUGAAAGCAGAGACAUGAAGGGGAGUUAAAGGAAACUUUGACGAACUCAUGAAUCCCACACUGCCAAGAAAAACUUCUAGCGAGACAAGAUCCGCCCGUACCGUAAACCGACACAGGUAGGCGGGGAGAGAAUCCUAAGGUGCGCGGGAAAACCCUCGUUAAGGAACUCGGCAAAUUGCAUCCGUAACCUAGGGAGAAGGAUGGCCCCCGGUCAGUGAAGAGCAGAAACGCUCAGAGCUAAAAGGGGCGGCAGAAAAGAGGCCCAAGCAACUGUUUACCAAAAACACAGGUGCCUGCGAAAGCGAAAGCUGAAGUAUAGGUGCUGACGCCUGCCCGGUGCCGGAAGGUUAAGGAGAGAAGUUAGCGAAAGCGAAGCAUCAAACUGAAGCCCCGGUAAACGGCGGCCGUAACUAUAACGGUCCUAAGGUAGCGAAAUUCCUUGUCGGGUAAGUUCCGACCCGCACGAAAGGCGUAAUGAUUUGGGCACUGUCUCAACGAGGGGCCCGGUGAAAUUGAAAUACCUGUGAAGAUGCAGGUUACCCGCGACUGGACAGAAAGACCCCAUGGAGCUUCACUGCAGCUUGAGAUUGAAUCCCGGUGACAGAUGCACAGGAUAGGUGGGAGGCGCCGAAGCAUUGCCCUAGGGCGGUGCGGAGCCGAUGUUGGGAUACCACCCUUCUGUUGCUGAGAUUCUAACGCGAGAGAGUAACGAAAUCCCUGGGACCCUGUCAGGCAGGCGGUUUGACUGGGGCGGUCGCCUCCGAAAGAGUAACGGAGGCGCC
rnacentral:rRNA from 1 species